ensembl:lncRNA
GUACUGUACAUAUAUACACACUGUACUGUACAUAUAUACACACACAGUACUGUACAUAUAUACACACACCGUACUGUACAUAUAUACACACACAGUACUGUACAUAUACACACACACCGUACUGUACAUAUAUACACACACACAGAACUGUACAUAUAUACACACACAGUACUGUACAUAUACACACUGUACUGUACAUAUACACACACACCGUACUGUACAUAUAUACACACACCGUACUGUACAUAUAUACACACACCGUACUGUACAUAUAUACACACACAGUACUGUACAUACACACACAGUACUGUACAUAUACACACACACCAUACUGUACAUAUACACACACACCGUACUGUACAUAUACACACACAGUAC